AAUGGUAAGUGAAAUAAAGAAGUAGGAGAGGGGUAACCCCAUACGGGUUCUUUGAUCCCCAAAUUAGAAAAGGGAAUUUCAAUCCCUAGCCUCCCUUCUUCUUCACUCCUUCGACGGCAAUGGUGACGGUUUGUGGCGAGUUGCGGUGGAUUAUGGUGGUUCUCAUUGGGGUUGAAAUCCGUAUUCUUCCUUCUUUCCAAUCGGCGGCAUUGGAAGUGUACUCACGGUGGUGACGAAACGGGGCUGAUUGUAGCUACGUGAUGCAUCUCCUUCUUCUUCGCGAGUUCUUCUUCUCCAUUUCCCUCGCAGUAAAGGGGGAAUCGAAAUCCCUAAUUCCAGUUUUAUCAUCUUCGAUGUCGGUUUUGAAUUGAUGGGGGAAGACAAUAAUGUCAAUCCUCUAAGGCUUCUUGACUACGCUGUGGUCUCGAUGCCCCUACCCCGAAUUCGAAUCGGGUGGUUCACAAUGGCUCCCUCCGAUGGGUUACGGUAGUUCAAGGUUCAGGUAUGCGCCCUUUUCAUUCUGGGCGUUAAUGGAUUAAAUUUGCAUGGCGGUUCUCAUCGGGUGAACUCCAACCUUCACGGUGGUUUCCGAUUCUGAUUCCUACUCGAACAGUGGUUUGCAUCGGGGAACAAGAUGACACCGAAAAUGGUAAUCAUAUUUUCUAUUUCGAUACCUUUUUAAUCUUUUUAUCUUUUUUAUUUGGUUUUUACAGCUUGAAUUUAAUCCGCCAUAUACAACCGAUACGGACAAAAUGGUUAGUCGACAGUGAACCAUAAUAUUUUAAGUCUACUAAGCCGAACCCUCCUUUCCAUCCUUAAUUGAGCAUAGAUAGGUAUCUUUCGGUUGGAACCAAAUGAGUGAAAUAUGUGUUUUAUGUGUAGGAUAUGGUUAUUGCGUGUAUCGAUUUCAGUGUGUGAUACCUAAUGAUUAAAACGCGUUACUGUUUAUGAAUAAUUUACCUGGAUGUAUGCCUUGUCCUCUUUGAAAUUUGAGUGCCAAUCCUUCUAGAAAUCCUAUGUGUACUUGUGAUAUAUUAUCUUUUCUGCUUGUGGUCUCUUCCUGAAUUUUCUAUGCUCUAGUCCCUUGUUACUGCGUCUAUGUGCAUGCUCUGAAUGUUUCCUUGUUAUCACUAUGUGGUUUGCGUGUGUGUAUGCCAAUUCCGGAUGAUCUCCUUGUCUUUCUGAAUACCUUUUUAGCGUUUAGUGUUCUCUCUAAAGCGUUUUGAUUGCACUAUAACUGUUUGGCCUCUCCUUUUUUGUAUGUGUUGUGAUAUCUCUCUUUUUCGUUUCUCUAUCCUUUUGUGUGUAUCUCUUAUAUCUCUUUUUCUUUGUACUUAUGCUGCUAUAUGACUAGUUUUUUGCUCUGUUUUCGAUUGUCCUCUCUCUGAUGCCUCUAUAGUGGUGUUUUGAUAGCUGGUUGUUUGCUUUAUGUGAGCCUUUUGAACUGCCAAAAAUGUGUAACAUACUGCAACUGUUGAUUCUCUGAUUCAAUGCGUUGAAGCUGCCAAUGAAUAUUGCCAUAAUACCACAUCUGUUUUCGUUUGGGAUUCUUUUUGUAAUCAAUGGCUCUUUCUCUAUAGAUUAGUCUCAUAUUCUGGCCAUUAUGUAUGAUUGUAACUGAAAUGAUAAUGAUUUCAAAUUACUUCUGCUUAGUGUUGUCCUUUGGGAUUUUAUUAACUGGUAAUUUAUGGCUGGUGUGAUGUGUUUGAAAUACUCUUUUGAGUUCUGGUGCUUGCGUGUAUCUGUUCUUGAAUUCCUGUGAUGCACGUAUUAUAUGAUUUAUGCUUGCUUCAAUGUGUUACGUGCUCUCUGAGUUGUUAUGUUCAUAUGAACUUUUCUUCUGUUGCUCCUUCUUUUACUCAUCAUAAUUAGUUCUUCAAGUGUUGGUGGCCUCCUAACCAUGUCACUGAUAUUAUUAUCAUCAGGAGUUUGUUCUUUUUGAUAUGCCUGUUGCAUGGCUGCUUGUGCUACUGUUGAUGAAUUGAAGAAGUUGCUACAGGUUUGGUUUCUAAAGUUUGAGUGAGGUUUUCAUUGUGACAACUACUUUACUCAAAGCAUGAUUGGAACCUGACUCCAAAUCUGGAUGCUGUACAGUGACAUUGUCAAGUCCAGCUUACCUUUCCACUUGCAACAUUUAUGACACUGUCAUCACUGG
rnacentral:lncRNA from 1 species